AGCACGGUGGCGCAAUGGUAGCGCGUUGGGCUCAUAAUCCAAAGGUUGGUGGUUCGAAUCCACUCUGUGCUA
rfam:Vittaforma corneae ATCC 50505 unplaced genomic scaffold supercont1.21, whole genome shotgun sequence.